rnacentral:rRNA from 1 species
AUUGAACGCUGGCGGCAGGCCUAACACAUGCAAGUCGAGCGAGUGGCGGACGGGUGAGUAAUGUCUGGGGAUCUGCCCGAUGGAGGGGGAUAACUACUGGAAACGGUAGCUAAUACCGCAUACUAUCAGAUGAGCCCAGAUGGGAUUAGCUAGUGGGUGGGGUAACGGCUCACCAAGGCGACGAUCCCUAGCUGGUCUGAGAGGAUGACCAGCCACACUGGAACUGAGACACGGUCCAGACUCCUACGGGAGGCAGCAGUGGGGAAUAUUGCACAAUGGGCGCAAGCCUGAUACAGCCAUGCCGCGUGUAUGAAGAAGGCCUUAGGGUUGUAAAGUACUUUCAGCGGGGAGGCGUUACCCGCAGAAGAAGCACCGGCUAACUCCGUGCCAGCAGCCGCGGUAAUAC